rnacentral:rRNA from 1 species
AUGCACGCUGGCGGCGUGCCUCAUACAUGCCAGUCGAGCGAACAGACGAGGAGCUUGCUCCUCUGACGUUAGCGGCGGACGGGUGAGUAACACGUGGAUAACCUACCUAUAAGACUGGGAUAACUUCGGGAAACCGGAGCUAAUACCGGAUAAUAUAUUGAACCGCAUGGUUCAAUAGUGAAAGACGGUUUUGCUGUCACUUAUAGAUGGAUCCGCGCCGCAUUAGCUAGUUGGUAAGGUAACGGCUUACCAAGGCAACGAUGCGUAGCCGACCUGAGAGGGUGAUCGGCCACACUGGAACUGAGACACGGUCCAGACUCCUACGGGAGGCAGCAGUAGGGAAUCUUCCGCAAUGGGCGAAAGCCUGACGGAGCAACGCCGCGUGAGUGAUGAAGGUCUUCGGAUCGUAAAACUCUGUUAUUAGGGAAGAACAAAUGUGUAAGUAACUAUGCACGUCUUGACGGUACCUAAUCAGAAAGCCACGGCUAACUACGUG